GAGUUUGAUCGUGGCUCAGAUUGAACGCUGGCGGCAUGCCUUACACAUGCAAGUCGAACGGCAGCACGGGAGCUUGCUCCUGGUGGCGAGUGGCGAACGGGUGAGUAAUGCAUCGGAACGUAUCCUGGAGUGGGGGAUAACGUAGCGAAAGUUACGCUAAUACCGCAUAUUCUGUGAGCAGGAAAGCGGGGGACCUUCGGGCCUCGCGCUCUUGGAGCGGCCGAUGUCGGAUUAGCUAGUUGGUGAGGUAAAGGCUCACCAAGGCGACGAUCCGUAGCAGGUCUGAGAGGAUGAUCUGCCACACUGGAACUGAGACACGGGUCCAGACUCCCUACGGGAGGCAGCAGUGGGGAAUUUUGGACAAUGGGGGCAACCC
rnacentral:rRNA from 1 species